rnacentral:tRNA from 1 species
GAGAGAGGCUCGCAGCAACGAAAACUGCUAACUUUCGCUACCUAGGUUGAACUCCUAGGCUCACUCG